GACGAACGCUGGCGGCGUGCUUAACACAUGCAAGUCGAACGGUGAAGGUGGAGCUUGCUCCGCCGGAUCAGUGGCGAACGGGUGAGUAACACGUGGGCAACCUGCCCCAGACUUCGGGAUAACCCCUCGAAAGAGGCGCUAAUACCGGCUCCGAGUUUUGCAGGCAUCUGCGGAAUUGGAAAGUUUUUCGGUCUGGGAUGGGCCGGCGGCCUAUCAGCUUGUUGGUGAGGUAACGGCUCACCAAGGCGACGACGGGUAGCCGGCCUGAGAGGGCGACCGGCCACACUGGGACUGAGACACGGCCCAGACUCCUACGGGAGGCAGCAGUGGGGAAUAUUGCACAAUGGGCGGAAGCCUGAUGCAGCAACGCCGCGUGAGGGAUGACGGCCUUCGGGUUGUAAACCUCUUUUAGCAGGGAAGAAGCGAAAGUGACGGUACCUGCAGAAAAAGCACCGGCUAAUUACGUGCCAGCCGCCGCAGUAA
rnacentral:rRNA from 1 species